rnacentral:rRNA from 1 species
UACGGAGGAGGCAAGCGUUAUCCGGAAUCAUUGGGCGUAAAGAGCGUGUAGGCGGCCCGGUAAGUCCGCUGUGAAAGUCGGGGGCUCAACCCUCGAAUGCCGGUGGAUACUGUCGGGCUAGAGUGCGGAAGAGGCGAGUGGAAUUCCUGGUGUAGCGGUGAAAUGCGCAGAUAUCAGGAGGAACACCGAUUGCGAAGGCAGCUCGCUGGGACGUCACUGACGCUGAGACGCGAAAGCGUGGGGAGCAAACAGG